AGAGUUUGAUCCUGGCUCAGAACGAACGCUGGUGGCGUGCCUAACACAUGCAAGUCGCGCGUGAAAGUCCCUUCGGGGGCGAGUAAAGCGGCGGACGGGUGAGUAAUACAUGGGUAAUCUACGCUCGAGCUCGGGAUAACCCCGCGAAAGUGGGGCUAAUACCGGAUAAGACCACGUGACCCAGGUUACGUGGUAAAAGGUGGCUUUUAGUUUCGGCUGAGAGCUAUCACUUGGGACUGAGCCCAUGUCCUAUCAGCUAGUUGGUGAGGUAACGGCUCACCAAGGCUAUGACGGGUAGCUGGUCUAAGAGGACGACCAGCCACACUGGGACUGAGACACGGCCCAGACUCCUACGGGAGGCAGCAGUGGGGAAUAUUGGGCAAUGGGGGCAACCCUGAUCCAGCCAUGCCGCGUGAGUGAAGAAGGCCUUCGGGUUGUAAAGCUCUUUCGGCCGGGAAAAAAUCGCAUGGGUUAAUACCCUGUGUGGAUGAUGGUACCGGAAUAAGAAGCACCGGCUAACUACGUGCCAGCAGCCGCGGUAAUACGUAGGGUGCGAGCGUUAAUCGGAAUUACUGGGCGUAAAGCGUGCGCAGGCGGUUUUGUAAGACAGGCGUGAAAUCCCCGGGCUCAACCUGGGAACUGCGCUUGUGACUGCAAGGCUAGAGUACGGCAGAGGGGGGUGGAAUUCCACGUGUAGCAGUGAAAUGCGUAGAGAUGUGGAGGAACACCAAUGGCGAAGGCAGCCCCCUGGGUCGAUACUGACGCUCAUGCACGAAAGCGUGGGUAGCAAACAGGAUUAGAUACCCUGGUAG
rnacentral:rRNA from 1 species